AAUCAACGCUGGCGGCGUGCCUCAGACAUGCAAGUCGAACGAUUAAACUUUCCUUCGGGAAAGAUAUAAAGUGGCGCACGGGUGAGUAACACGUAGGUAAUGUACCUUUGGGUGGGGAAUAACUUAGGGAAACUUAAGCUAAUACCGCAUAAUGCAGCGGCUCCUUCGGGAGACAGUUGUUAAAGAUUUAUCGCCUAAAGAGCAGCCUGCGGCAGAUUAGCUAGUUGGUAAGGUAACGGCUUACCAAGGCGACGAUCUGUAUCCGACCUGAGAGGGUGGUCGGACACACUGACACUGAAUAACGGGUCAGACUCCUACGGGAGGCAGCAGUCGGGAAUUUUGGG
rnacentral:rRNA from 1 species